rnacentral:rRNA from 1 species
UACAGAGGGUGCAAGCGUUGUUCGGAAUUAUUGGGCGUAAAGCGCGUGUAGGCGGCUUUGCAAGUCGGGUGUGAAAUCCCUCAGCUUAACUGAGGAAGUGCGCCCGAAACUGCAGAGCUUGAAUACCGGAGAGGAUGGCGGAAUUCCCCAAGUAGAGGUGAAAUUCGUAGAUAUGGGGAGGAACACCGGUGGCGAAGGCGGCCAUCUGGACGGAUGUUGACGCUGAGACGCGAAAGCGUGGGUAGCAAACAGG